UACGUAGGGGGCUAGCGUUGUUCGGAAUUACUGGGCGUAAAGCGCACGUAGGCGGCUUGGCAAGUUAUAGGUGAAAGCCUGGAGCUCAACUCCAGAAUUGCCUUUAAGACUGCCGAGCUAGCAGGUGAGAGAGGUGAGUGGAAUUCCGAGUGUAGAGGUGAAAUUCGUAGAUAUUCGGAAGAACACCAGUGGCGAAGGCGGCUCACUGGCUCAUACUGGACGCUGAGGUGCGAAAGCGUGGGGAGCAAACAGG
rnacentral:rRNA from 1 species